rnacentral:tRNA from 1 species
UGUCUUUUUGGUGUAAGUAGCAUUCUUGCCUUCCAAGCAAGAGGUCUUUUAAUAAAAGAAAA